rnacentral:rRNA from 1 species
AAAUCAGCAGGGAAAGAAGACCCUGUUGAGCUUGACUCUAGUCUGACUUUGUGAAAUGACUUCAGAGGUGUAGGAUAAGUGGGAGCCAAAAGGAGAAAGUAAAAUACCACCACUUUUAACAUUAUUUUACUUAUUUCGUAAAUUGAAAGUGGGGCACUGCCCCUCUUUUUGGACCCAAGGCUCACUUUGCGGGCUGAUCCGAGCGAAAGACAUUGUCGGUGAGGAGUUUGGCUGAGGUGGCACAUCUGCUAAAAGAUAAUGAAGGUGUCCUAAGAUGAGCUCAACGAAAAUAGAAAUUUCGUGUGGAACAGAAGAGUAAAAGCUCAUUUGAUUCUGAUUUCUAGUACAAACACGAACCGUGAAAGUGUGGCCUAACGAUCCUUUAGACCUUUGAAAUUUGAAGCUAGAGGUGUCAGAAAAGUUACCAUAGGGAUAACUAGUUUGUGGCAGCCAAGCGUUCAUAACAACAUUGCUUUUUGAUCCUUCGAUGUCGGCUCUUCCUAUCAUUGUGAAGCAAAAUUCACCAAGUGUCGGAUUGUUCACCCACCAAUAGGAAAUGUGAGCUGGAUUAUGACUGAAUGCCGAUAGGCUAGUUUUAUCCUAUUAUGAUAGUGUCAAAGUAGUAAUUCAACCUAGUAUGAGAGAAACCAUUGAUUCACACAAUUUGUCAUCGCACUUGGUUGAAAAGCCAGUGGCGUGAAGCUACCAUGUGUUGGAUUAUGACUGAAUGACUCUAAGUUAGAAUUUGGGCUAGAAGUGAUGAGCGCAUCUACCAUUCACUUGCUGACCCGCAGUAGGGGCCUCAUGGCCC